AAUGAACGUUGGCGGCGUGGAUUAGGCAUGCAAGUCGAGCGAGAAGUGUAGCAAUACACGGAAAGCGGCGAAAGGGAUAGUAACACGUAGGUACCUACCCCCGGGCCUGGGAUAGCGGCGGGAAACUGCCAUUAAUACCAGAUAACGUCUCCGGACCAAAGGUGUGAUUCCGUCUGGGGAGGGGCCUGCGUCCUAGCAGCUAGUUGGUGAGGUAAUGGCCCACCAAGGCAUUGACGGGUAGCGGGUGGGAGGGCCCGACCCGCAUCACUGGGACUGAGACACUGCCCAGACACCUACGGGUGGCUGCAGUCGAGAAUCUUCCGCAAUGGGCGCAAGCCUGACGGAGCGACGCCGCGUGCGGGAUGAAGGCCUUCGGGUUGUAAACCGCUGUCAGUGGGGAGGAAAUGCAUGGGGGUUCUCCCCCAUGUUUGACCGAUCCGCAGAGGAAGCACAGGCUAAGUUCGUGCCAGCCGCCGCGGUAAUAC
rnacentral:rRNA from 1 species